CAAAAGAAACUGGCAGACUAGAGUACUGUAGAGGGGGGUAGAAUUUCAGGUGUAGCGGUGAAAUGCGUAGAGAUCUGAAGGAAUACCGGUGGCGAAGGCGGCCCCCUGGACAGAUACUGACACUCAGAUGCGUUUGCGUGGGGAGCAAACAGGAUUAGAUAGGGUGGUAGUCCACGCCGUAAACGAUGUCUACUUGGAGGUUGUGGCCUUGAGCCGUGGCUUUCGGAGCUAACGCGUUAAGUAGACCGCCUGGGGAGUACGGUCGCAAGAUUAAAACUCAAAUGAAUUGACCCCGGCCCGCACAAGCGGUGGAGCAUGUGGUUUAAUUCGAUGCAACGCGAAGAACCUUACCUACUCUUGACAUCCAGAGAACUUUCCAGAGAUGGAUUGGUGCCUUCGGGAACUCUGAGACAGGUGCUGC
rnacentral:rRNA from 1 species